CACCUAAAAAGAAAAAUACAUGACUACAACAAAUAACAAAAUGAUUUUGUUUGAAAAUACCUUAUGCCCAAUGAAACCAUCAUUGAUGAAUAUGCUUUAUGUCUAAUAGUUUCUUUGGCUUAUAUGCCUUAUCAUGAUAAAUAUUUUGAAAAGUUUGUAUCAUACUUGAUGAUUAUUAUACAUGAUGAUUUAUUGGUCUUGAAGUUAUUCAAUUUUGAUUAAAUGAAAUCAUGUUUGACUUGAAGUAAUGAGUUGAAAUCAAUAUUUUUUGGAAUUAUGUGUUGCACUUUUUUAUCUUGAUGAUUUUUGAUUUUUUUGUUUUAAAACGAUUAUGCAUGGAUUUGAAAGAAAAGGACAUGCAUGCAUGGAAUCAAUCAAUAAGUUGAAACAAAAGGAGGAAAGAUUUUUUAUUGAAAAUUUUCUUUUUCUCUAUCUUAUUGAUUUAUACCUAAGAGACCAAUAAAAUUAUUUAUGCCAUUUUGAAUCUCUUGAAAGAAAUGUUGAGAUUUUGAUGAUUUAGACGAUUUGAAUUU
rnacentral:lncRNA from 1 species